rnacentral:rRNA from 1 species
UACGUAGGGGGCAAGCGUUGUCCGGAUUUAUUGGGCGUAAAGAGCGUGUAGGCGGCCAGGUAGGUCUGCUGUGAAAACUCGAGGCUUAACCUCGAGCUGUCGGCGGAAACCUCUGGCUAGAGUCCGGAAGAGGAGAAUGGAAUUCCGGUGUAGCGGUGAAAUGCGCAGAUAUCGGGAAGAACACCCGUGGCGAAGGCGGUUCUCUGGGACGGUACUGACGCUGAGACGCGAAAGCGUGGGGAGCGAAACA